AUCGUCGAACUGUUGCGGCGCGAUAAAGUGGAUAUGGCUGUCGAUCCCGCCAGCGGUAAGGAUACGCCCCUCGCCCGCAAUGGCUUCGGUCGCGGGUCCGAUGAUAAUGUUCACGCCAGGCUGCGUGUCAGGGUUGCCUGCCUUACCAAUCGCGUGAAUUCGACCGUUUUUCAAACCAACGUCGGCCUUAUAAAUCCCCGAAUGGUCAACGAUCAGCGCGUUGGUGAUGACGGUAUCUACCGCGCCUUGGUCACGGGUGCGCUGGGAUUGGCCCAUACCAUCGCGGAU
rnacentral:sRNA from 1 species